rnacentral:rRNA from 1 species
GCCUACGGGAGGCAGCAGUGGGGAAUAUUGCACAAUGGGGGAAACCCUGAUGCAGCGACGCCGCGUGAAGGACGAAGUAUUUCGGUACGUAAACUUCUAUCAGCAGGGAAGAAAAUGACGGUACCUGACCGAGAAGCCCCGGCUAACUACGUGCCAGCAGCCGCGGUAAUACGUAGGGGGCGAGCGUUAUCCGGAUUUACUGGGUGUAAAGGGAGCGUAGACGGCCAUGCAAGCUCGGUGUGAAAGGUGCGGGCACAACCCACAGACUGCACUGAGAACUGUAUGGCUGGA